GGGCCCAUAGCUCAGUUGGUUAGAGCAGAGGACUCAUAAUCCUUUGGUCCUAGGUUCGAGUCCUAGUGGGCCCA
rnacentral:tRNA from 1 species